rnacentral:rRNA from 1 species
GAACGGUAGCACAGAGGAGCUUGCUCCUUGGGUGACGAGUGGCGGACGGGUGAGUAAUGUCUGGGAAACUGCCCGAUGGAGGGGGAUAACUACUGGAAACGGUAGCUAAUACCGCAUAACGUCUUCGGACCAAAGUGGGGGACCUUCGGGCCUCACACCAUCGGAUGUGCCCAGAUGGGAUUAGCUAGUAGGUGGGGUAAUGGCUCACCUAGGCGACGAUCCCUAGCUGGUCUGAGAGGAUGACCAGCCACACUGGAACUGAGACACGGUUCAGACUCCUACGGGAGGCAGCAGUGGGGAAUAUUGCACAAUGGGCGCAAGCCUGAUGCAGCCAUGCCGCGUGUAUGAAGAAGGCCUUCGGGUUGUAAAGUACUUUCAGCGGGGAGGAAGGCGAUGUGGUUAAUAACCGCAUCGAUUGACGUUACCGACAGAAUAAGCACCGGCUAACUCUGUG